rnacentral:tRNA from 1 species
CAUUGAGAAGCUAAAUGCAUUAACCUUUUAAGUUAAAGACUGAGAGUUUUAAUCCCGCCUCAGUGA